UGCUAUGGACGUUUCCCUCUGCCAAAAGAAUGAGUUUUGAUUCGCACUAAGUCUAUUUAUAGACCAAAAAGAUAACAGAAAUAUCACAGAAUCCGAGCUAAUAAUAACAUAUAACCACUCAACGGCUAAAUAAACCGCUCAGCGGUUUCCCCCUUAGUCGCAUGACCGCUCAGCGGUCAGUUUUACCGCUGAACGGUUUGCCUCAAAUCGCCCUGGACGCUCAACGGUCCAUUCUAACGCUGAGUGGUUCUUCUGACCCUUCUUUUCAUCCUUUUUCUUCAUCUUUCACGUGUCUAAGUCCACCUUGCUUCCCUUCCAUCUUCAAUUCACCUUAAAACCCUGCAAAACAAUGUAAAAACAAGCAUAAUAUCUCUAAAAC
rnacentral:lncRNA from 1 species